GUGCUCGCUUUGGCAGCACAUAUACUAAAACUGGAACGACAGAGAGAAGAUUAGCAAGGACUCUGAGCAAGAAUAACAGGCAAAUUUGUGAACCAUUCCAUAUUUGA
ensembl:snRNA U6 U6 spliceosomal RNA